rnacentral:rRNA from 1 species
AGUGAACGCUGGCGGUAGGCCUAACACAUGCAAGUCGAACGGCAGCACAGAAGAGCUUGCUCUCUGGGUGGCGAGUGGCGGACGGGUGAGGAAUACAUCGGAAUCUACUUUUUCGUGGGGGAUAACGUAGGGAAACUUACGCUAAUACCGCAUACGACCUACGGGUGAAAGCAGGGGACCUUCGGGCCUUGCGCGAUUGAAUGAGCCGAUGUCGGAUUAGCUAGUUGGCGGGGUAAAGGCCCACCAAGGCGACGAUCCGUAGCUGGUCUGAGGGGAGGAUCAGCCACACUGGAACUGGGACACGGUCCAGACUCCUACGGGAGGCAGCAGUGGGGAAUAUUGGACAAUGGGCGCAAGCCUGAUCCAGCCAUACCGCGUGGGUGAAGAAGGCCUUCGGGUUGUAAAGCCCUUUUGUUGGGAAAGAAAUCCAGCUGGCUAAUACCCGGUUGGGAUGACGGUACCCAAAGAAUAAGCACCGGCUAACUUCGUGCCAGCAGCCGCCGUAA